CCAGCCACGCCGCGUGGGUGAUGAAGGCCUUCGGGUUGUAAAGCCCUGUCGGAGGGGGACGGAAGUCUUCGGAUUGACGGUACCUUCCAAGAAAGCACCGGCUAACUCCGUGCCAGCAGCCGCGGUAAUACGGAGGGUGCAAGCGUUGCUCGGAAUUACUGGGCGUAAAGCGUACGCAGGCGGUCUGAUAAGUCGGGUGUGAAAGCCCCGGGCUCAACCCGGGAACUGCAUUCGAAACUGCCAGACUUGAGUUUGGGAGAGGGAAGUGGAAUUCCUGGUGUAGAGGUGAAUUCGUUGAUAUCAGGAGGAACACCGGCGGCGAAAGCGGCUUCCUGGCCCGAUACUGACGCUCAUGUACGAAAGCGUGGGGAGCAAACAGGAUUAGAUACCCUGGUAGUCCACGCCGUAAACGAUGAGUGCUAGAUGUUGGAGGUAUUCACCCCUUCAGUGUCGAAGCUAACGCAUUAAGCACUCCGCCUGGGAGUACGGCCGCAAGGUUAAAACU
rnacentral:rRNA from 1 species